ACCAUAAACUCCCUCUUUGCCCAGGGCAAGCCGACAAAAUGUGGUUCAAGCUGACCAGGCCGAGCCGUGGAGGAAUGCUGGGGUUCGCCCGCAGAAGGGAUGGGACCAGAGAGGAGGGGUAAAGGAGACCCCAGUAAAGGGCAGGCCAUUUCAGGUGAAGAAAGGUAAGAGGAAUCUGUGAAGUCAAGGGCCAGGCUGUGGAGGAGAUUAAAGGAGGUCAAAGAGAGGUCAUGGCUUCAUACCUCACUUCCUGACACAAACAAGUUUUUACUGUUGUCAGCAACAAAGCCCUAAUAUAGCCGCGGAAGAGAAAAACUGCCUUGCAUUUUGCCUCUUGAGAGCAUCAUCAACAGUUACCGGAGGAAUGUAAUUCCAGAAAGCUCCGAAACUGGUAGUGAUGGUAAUUAUGGACCAAAUGCCCGGUUCUGGUUGUUAUUUUCUGGGCAUUUCUGUUCUACCAACGAUCUGCGAGUGAGCUCACUGAGAGGGCAAAUCUGGCUUUUCUUUUUGACUUUGUAAAAUUUAAUCAGGCCUGAUAGGGAACUCACAGCUCUUGGGGGAAAAUAAAGUAGGAACCACGAAAUGUCAUUUUAACAGAGCGUGGGCUUGGUGACUGCAGGAAAGGAUUUAAGGACGCUCCUGUUCCGCUUGCUGUGUAAUGAGCACUGGCUCCACGCACGCAC
rnacentral:lncRNA from 1 species